rnacentral:rRNA from 1 species
UACGAAGGGGGCUAGCGUUGUUCGGAAUUGCUGGGCGUAAAGGGCGCGUAGGCUGUGCUGUAAGUCAGGCGUGAAAUCCCCGGGCUCAACCUGGGAAUUGCGUUUGAUACUGCGGCGCUGGAAUGCAGGAGAGGAUGGCGGAAUUCCCAGUGUAGAGGUGAAAUUCGUAGAUAUUGGGAAGAACACCGGUGGCGAAGGCGGCCAUCUGGCCUGUAAUUGACGCUGAGGCGCGAAAGCGUGGGGAGCAAACAGG